UACGUAGGGGGCAAGCGUUGUCCGGAAUCAUUGGGCGUAAAGAGCGUGUAGGCGGCCAGAAAAGUCCGCUGUGAAAACUCGAGGCUCAACUUCGAGCUGUCGGUGGAAACUUUCUGGCUAGAGUCCGGAAGAGGAGUCUGGAAUUCCCGGUGUAGCGGUGAAAUGUGUAGAGAUCGGGAGGAACACCGGUGGCGAAGGCGGCAUCCUGGACCGGCAUUGACGCUGAUGAGCGAAAGCUAGGGGAGCAAACGGG
rnacentral:rRNA from 1 species